UUACUGGCUUAUAUCGAGUGAAAACUCGAUUAUUUCUACUAGGGGACGAUAGUCUUAUUUUAAAGAGCGGAAGUUUGGCUACAAUUUUUGUUCGGCAAAAGUAUGAUCUACGACCGAUAGAUUCUGAAAUAUUGAUCUAUAUAGAAUAAUUAAUCUAGUAGAGAUUGAGACUUGAAAUUAGUCUCAAAUUAAAGCCCAGAUAUUGAGCGAUUUCUCCGUCCCCUUUUGAUUCAUUUUGAAGCGAGAAGAGUAUAGAUAUCGAUCGUUAAAGAUCGACAUUAAAUUCAAUGCGUAUAAAGAAAAUAAUAUUUUUUUUUAGGUAUGUUGUUUUUGCUUAUAAUUACUUUGUACUUGAAAACUCGUGAUACCGAUAUCGACAAAUAGCCAAUAAGCUCAAGCAAUUUUUCUGAUAAAAAUUCUAUUCACAAAAUAAUCGUUCUGAAAUUGAUAACUUUUAUUUUCCGUCUCUGACGCACGUUAUGCGACAAUUAGCGACCGGUUCAUAAGUAAAAUAACUGAUGAAUUUGAUGGUGAGGGCAAUCGUUAGCUAUUUAAAAUUCGCUUGCUGCUCCCAUUGAUUGCAUUGUCGACAGAAGUCACCAAAACCUUGACAAACAUCAACGAUCGUUUUAAAAGUCAACGAAAACAAUCAAAAUGUUCAAAAUUAUUUUACUGUUAUCAAUAUUUACGUUAUUGAUUGGGCUUGUGGUAAAUGAAGAGGAUUGUGUGGGUCACGGCGAAAAUUGUUUGAUGAAAAGGUGCUGUGAAGGAUUAGGUUGCAGUGGAUACACCUUCACAUGUUGGAGAUUGCAAAAUAAUAAUCGAACAUCAAAUUCGAGGUAUCAAUAAUUUAAUUUCAACAUCUAUUAAAUUAUUCCUUCAAUAAAAUUAUGUAAGACGCAUAAACAAAUGAAUAAAUAGUAUUGCGCUACCAAAAUAUAAAA